GAUGAAGAACGCAGCGAAAUGCGAUAAGUAAUGUGAAUUGCAGAAUUCAGUGAAUCAUCGAAUCUUUGAACGCACAUUGCGCCCUCUGGUAUUCCGGGGGGCAUGCCUGUUCGAGCGUCAUUAUAACCACUCAAGCUCUCGCUUGGUAUUGGGGUUCGCGGUUUCGCGGCCCCUAAAAUCAGUGGCGGUGCCUGUCGGCUCUACGCGUAGUAAUACUUCUCGCGAUUGAGUUCGAUAGGUCUACUUGCCAGUAACCCCCAAUUUUUACAGGUUGACCUCGGAUCAGGUAGGGAUACCCGCUGAACUUAAGCAUAUCAAUAAGCAGAGGA
rnacentral:misc_RNA from 1 species